GGAAUAUUGGACAAUGGGCGAAAGCCUGAUCCAGCCAUGCCGCGUGUGUGAAGAAGGCUUUCGGGUUGUAAAGCACUUUCAGUGAGGAAGAAGGCCUUGGGGCUAAUACCCCCGAGGAAGGACAUCACUCACAGAAGAAGCACCGCCUAACUCCGUGCCAGCCGCCGCGGUAAUACAGAGGGUGCGAGCGUUAAUCGGAAUUACUGGGCGUAAAGCGCACGUAGGCGGCUCUGCAAGUCGGGUGUGAAAUCCCCGGGCUCAACCUGGGAACUGCAUUCGAUACUGCAUUGCUAGAGUAUGGGAGAGGGAAGUGGAAUUUCCGGUGUAGCGGUGAAAUGCGUAGAUAUCGGAAGGAACACCAGUGGCGAAAGCGACUUCCUGGACCAAUACUGACGCUCAGGUGCGAAAGCGUGGGGAGCA
rnacentral:rRNA from 1 species